AAUUCAUAACAUGCUGAUUUGAUAGCCAAAGAUAAACAAGAGUUUACAAAGUUCUGAAUCAAGAAACUUACAAAAGUGAGAACAUAAUUAAUAUGCCACCUUGGGAAGGGAAUAGAUAGAAGUAGAAGAUAAAUCAUGAUUGAUACAAUAGGGCUUCAAAGAUUUGUGAACAUUAUUGUUGCUCUUCAAUGGGGUAGGAGUAACCUGCAAGAACAAAUAAUUCCCAGCAAAAAGAUCACCAAAAUGAGACUGACUUUCCUUCAAUCUCUUCACAACUUUUGUCCAAGCCAGCUUAACCGAUCUUGCUUUUCUUCUCAAGAACCUUCUCAAGCUUGGAAUCUUCACCCUCAGUCUUCUUCUCACGUGCACUCUUCUCAAACUAAAUGUGGAGCUAUGUCUUAGCCUUCCAAUAUGUUCAUCAAAAUCAUCAUCAAACCAUCCUUCUUCCUUUAGCCUUUGGUAUGAAAAUCUUGAAGUAAAAGUGGAACCCAUGACUGACUUCAAUUUUCUUCUUCUUUCACUAGAGAGAUCAAAAUGAAUAAUUGUGGGAUCCUAUGUUCUUUUCUUGAUCAACUUCUUGUGGUACUAGGGCUUGUAUGAUUUAUUGGCGAUAUAUGUAUGGGGCCGUUUGGCUGGCCAUGUAGUUGUUAGUUGUCACUUGUGUCAUAGGAGUAGUUGGUUAGGCAUUGAAUGCCAAGAAAGAGUGUGGCUGGCUGGUGAGUGGUGAUGUCGUCCACCAAAUAAUGUGGCCUUGUAUUAAUUUAGAGUAGUCAUUUGUUGGU
rnacentral:lncRNA from 1 species